AUUGAACGCUGGCGGCAGGCCUAACACAUGCAAGUCGAGCGGAGCGCCGGGCGGGCGAGUAAUGCCAAGGAAUCUGCCUGGUCGAGGGGGCUAACGUCAGGAAACGGGAGCUAAUACCGCAUACGCUCAGAUGAGACUAGGUCGGCUUAGCUAGUUGGUGGGGUAAAGGCCUAACACGGCGACGAUCCGUAACUGGUCUGAGAGGAGGAUCAGUCACACUGGAACUGAGACACGGUCCAGACUCCUACGGGAGGCAGCAGUGGGGAAUAUUGGACAAUGGGCGAAAGCCUGAUCCAGCCAUGCCGCGUGUGUGAAGAAGGUCUUCGGAUUGUAAAGCACUUUAAGUUGGGAGGCGUUACCAACAGAAUAAGCACCGGCUAACUUCGUGCCAGCAGCCGCGGUAAUAC
rnacentral:rRNA from 1 species